GCGCCCGUAGCUCAGCUGGAUAGAGCACCGCUUUCCUAAAGCGGGGGCCGCAGGUUCAAGUCCUGCCGGGCGCACCA
rnacentral:tRNA from 1 species